rnacentral:tRNA from 1 species
GGGCCCGUUGCCUAGCCCGGAUAGGGCGCCAGCCUUCUAAGUUGGAGUUCGAGAGUUCGAGUCUCUCCGGGCCCGCCA